rnacentral:rRNA from 1 species
CCUACGGGAGGCAGCAGUAGGGAAUAUUGCUCAAUGGCGGAAACCCUGAAGCAGCAACGCCGCGUGGGGGAUGAAGGUUUUCGGAUUGUAAACUCCUUUUGUUAGAGAAGAUAAUGACGGUAUCUAACGAAUAAGCACCGGCUAACUCCGUGCCAGCAGCCGCGGUAAUACGGAGGGUGCAAGCGUUACUCGGAAUCACUGGGCGUAAAGAGCGCGUAGGCGGGAUAGCAAGUCAGAUGUGAAAUCCUAUGGCUUAACCAUAGAACUGCAUUUGAAACUGUUAUUCUAGAGUAUGGGAGAGGUAGGUGGAAUGCUUGGUGUAGGGGUAAAAUGCGUAGAGAUCAAGAGGAAUACUGAUUGCGAAGGCGACCUGCUAGAACAUAACUGACGCUGAUGCGCGAAAGCGUGGGGAGCAAACAGGAUUAGAUACCCUUGUAGUC